GUGAGGAAUAUUGGUCAAUGGGCGAGAGCCUGAACCAGCCAAGUAGCGUGCAGGAUGACGGCCCUAUGGGUUGUAAACUGCUUUUACACGGGGAUAAAGUGUGCGACGUGUCGUUCAUUGCAGGUACCGUGCGAAUAAGGACCGGCUAAUUCCGUGCCAGCAGCCGCGGUAAUACGGAAGGUCCAGGCGUUAUCCGGAUUUAUUGGGUUUAAAGGGAGCGUAGGCCGUCUGUUAAGCGUGUUGUGAAAUGUAGAUGCUCAACAUCUGAAUUGCAGCGCGAACUGGCAGACUUGAGUGUGCGCAACGUAGGCGGAAUUCGUGGUGUAGCGGUGAAAUGCUUAGAUAUCACGAAGAACUCCGAUUGCGAAGGCAGCUUACGGGAGCACAACUGACGCUGAAGCUCGAAAGUGCGGGUAUCGAACAGGAUUAGAUACCCGGGUAGUCC
rnacentral:rRNA from 1 species